rnacentral:rRNA from 1 species
UGGGGAAUAUUGCGCAAUGGGGGAAACCCUGACGCAGCAACGCCGCGUGAAGGAUGAAGGUCUUCGGAUUGUAAACUUCUUUUGCAGAGGACGAAGGUAGUGACGGUACUCUGUGAAUAAGCCACGGCUAACUACGUGCCAGCAGCCGCGGUAACACGUAAGGUGCGAGCGUUGUUCGGAAUCAUUGGGCGUAAAGGGCAUGUAGGCGGUCUGUCAAGCCAGGCGUGAAAGCCAGGGGCUCAACCCCUGAACUGCGCUUGGAACUGGCGGACUGGAGUCGCUGAGGGGGAACCGAAUUCCUGGUGUAGGGGUGAAAUCUGUAGAUAUCAGGAAGAACACCGAUGGCGAAGGCAGGUUUCCAGCAGACGACUGACGCUGAGGUGCGAAGGUGCGGGGAGCAAACAGGAUUAGAUACCCUGGUAGU